rnacentral:rRNA from 1 species
CCUACGGGGUGCACCAGUGGGGAAUAUUGCACAAUGGGCGCAAGCCUGAUGCAGCCAUGCCGCGUGUAUGAAGAAGGCCUUCGGGUUGUAAAGUACUUUUAGCGGGGAAGAAGGCGAUAAGGUUAAUAACCUUGUCGAUUGACGUUACCCGCAGAAGAAGCACCGGCUAACUCCGUGCCAGCAGCCGCGGUAAUACGGAGGGUGCAAGCGUUAAUCGGAAUUACUGGGCGUAAAGCGCACGCAGGCGGUCUGUCAAGUCGGAUGUGAAAUCCCCGGGCUCAACCUGGGAACUGCAUUCGAAACUGGCAGGCUGGAGUCUUGUAGAGGGGGGUAGAGUUCCAGGUGUAGCGGUGAAAUGCGUAGAGAUCUGGAGGAAUACCGGUGGCGAAGGCGGCCCCCUGGACAAAGACUGACGCUCAGGUGCGAAAGCGUGGGGAGCAAACAGGAUUAGAUACCCGUGUAGUC